rnacentral:rRNA from 1 species
CCUACGGGUGACAGCAGUGGGGGAUAUUGCACAAUGGGGGAAACCCUGAUGCAGCGACGCCGCGUGUGGGAAGACGGUCCUCUGGAUUGUAAACCACUGUCCCCAGGGACGAAGAUGACGUUACCUGGGGAGGCCGCUCCGGCUAACUACGUGCCAGCAGCCGCGGUAAUCCGUAGGGAGCGAGCGUUGUCCGGAAUUACUGGGUGUAAAGGGAGCGUAGGGGGGGAGGCAAGUUGGUUGUAAAAACUACCGGCUCAACUGGGAGUCGCACUCAAAACUGCAGCUCUUGAGUGAAGUAGAGGCAGGUGGAAUUCCUAGUGUAGCGGUGAAAUGCGUAGAGAUUAGGAGGAACACCAGUGGCGAAGGCGGCCUGCUGGGCUUUGACUGACGCUGAGGCUCGAAAGUGUGGGGAGCAAACAGGAUUAGAUACCCUAGUAGUC